CGGGGCGGGUGCGGGCGGUUGUGUGUGAGGGCUGAGGGUGCGGCCCCGCUGCUGCCCGGGCUGCGGAGGGGAGAGCGCCUUGGCCGCUGGCCGUGCCCUCCCUGGGGCUCAGCUCAGGUCCGUGCCCAGCGGCUGGUGGAGUGUGGCGAGUUGUGCUUCCUGCCGGGCGGGAGCUGCCUUGGGAAGCUGCUCUGUCCCCACGGCUGUGCCGAGCUGGGAGCUUGGACAGCAGGAUGUCGAGUGCCACCGUGUCCCUGAGGUCCCCCUUUCUCCUGUUGGGAGAGCACGAGGCGGAUGGAGAGGAUCCCCAGGCAUCUGCAGGAACAAGGGACUUCUAUGACUCCAACUUGCCUACUGCAGCUGUAGGAUGGACUUUCAAGAUAGCAUUGGGAAUGUGCCAGCACUCUCCUGCUGAAGUUUUUGUCCGCUGUCUUUGAACACAAUGAGUAAAACUGAAGUCAGGCAGAAGAGCCCAGGCCUGAGAUGGCUGAGUGUUGGUGUGAGCCACAGUGGGUGUCCCUGCCCUCGGGACAGUCCCCAGAGCUGCCUUUGGCAUCCCCUGCUGAAGGGUGGGAGCUGCCCAGAGCCAGCAGCAUCCAUCUGGAGGAUCCAGGAGGAUGCAGCUCCUGUUGUCUGGGAGGGACACUGAGCUGGUCCAGCUGUGGCAAAAAGAGCAAGUGUCCUGUGAAGGUUUGGAGCAGUCUGGAGGGUUCCUCGUGCCCAAAGGAGCCUGGAAGUGCAGCCCUGGAGGCAUGAGGAAUAAUGACAAGUGUCCCAUUUCUUGUGAAGCUCAACUGUGUAAAACAUUUAGGGAGCUAAAAUUCCACAGCCUUGAGCUGUUGGGUCCCAAAGAAUAGUGGAGGGAGAGGCAGAGAAUGCCCCUGCUGCUGGGGCUGAACUGUGUGCAGUGAGGGGGCAGGACUUGGCCCUGAUGCCUGAGUGCUCUCCAGCCCCCCAGGCUGGAUCCCAACUGUCAGCCCCUGGCUCCAGCCCUUGAGAAGAUGGUGUUCCUGCCAGCCCAGCUGCUGGGCUGGUGGUCCUGGGGGCACCUCCUGCCCUGGCCUGCUGGGAAGGUGUUUGUGUUGCAGCUCAAUAAAGUCCCUUUCAGUGGUGAUUGUGUCACUUUGGUGUCAGUUCCUCUCCCCUCUUCCCCUGCCCCCGUGGCUGCAUCACUGCCUUGUGCCUAAAUGAACUCUUCCCCUGCAGCAGUGCCCUGCUGCUCCCAGAGAGGGUGGAGCUGAGGCCCCUGAGCCAAGGGAAAAGGAUCCAUCCAAGGCAGGCCAGUGCUCCCCCCCUGCCUUCCUCCAGCCUCCCGUGUUUCCAGUUCCCCUCCCUGCUGGACACACAGCCUGUUCCCAAACAACCCCCGUUCCUGUUCUCUCUCUGUGUCUCCCCUCCCAACUCCCCUCCUCUAAUCUCCAGCUGCCCAGGCCCCUGGUUUUGAGGGGCAUUCCUGGGCUGCUGCUCCCCCAUUCCUUAGAACUGAAGUGCCCAGAGCCCCAAGUGCAGAGAGGUCUGCAGGGAAUCAGUGCCAAGAGCUGCCCGUGCCUGCCUGUGUUCCUGCAGUUCUCCUUCCUGCUCUCCCUGGGCUGGAGAGACCUGCCUGCCCUGGGUUUCUUGGAGCAGAGGGAUGGGAUUCCAUUGGUGCAGAAGGGAUGUUCACAGACACUCGUUUUCUGACAGGCAGUGCCAUUUCCCUUCUGCCUUUCCCAAGUUUUCCCAAGUGCUGCCCAGCCCGGGGAUCCGUGUGCUGGGACAGUGAUUGGCAGGAGGGAGGGGAGCCUUGGCCUCACCUGCCCAGCUCAGGCCAGGCCAAAGCCCUGAUCCAGCCCAGCUCUG